UGCAGUCGAGCGGACAGAAGGGAGCUUGCUCCCGGAUGUUAGCGGCGGACGGGUGAGUAACACGUGGGUAACCUGCCUGUAAGACUGGGAUAACUCCGGGAAACCGGAGCUAAUACCGGAUAGUUCCUUGAACCGCAUGGUUCAAGGAUGAAAGACGGUUUCGGCUGUCACUUACAGAUGGACCCGCGGCGCAUUAGCUAGUUGGUGAGGUAACGGCUCACCAAGGCGACGAUGCGUAGCCGACCUGAGAGGGUGAUCGGCCACACUGGGACUGAGACACGGCCCAGACUCCUACGGGAGGCAGCAGUAGGGAAUCUUCCGCAAUGGACGAAAGUCUGACGGAGCAACGCCGCGUGAGUGAUGAAGGUUUUCGGAUCGUAAAGCUCUGUUGUUAGGGAAGAACAAGUGCAAGAGUAACUGCUUGCACCUUGACGGUACCUAACCAGAAAGCCACGGCUAACUACGUGCCAGCAGCCGCGGUAAUACGUAGGUGGCAAGCGUUGUCCGGAAUUAUUGGGCGUAAAGGGCUCGCAGGCGGUUUCUUAAGUCUGAUGUGAAAGCCCCCGGCUCAACCGGGGAGGGUCAUUGGAAACUGGGAAACUUGAGUGCAGAAGAGGAGAGUGGAAUUCCACGUGUAGCGGUGAAAUGCGUAGAGAUGUGGAGGAACACCAGUGGCGAAGGCGACUCUCUGGUCUGUAACUGACGCUGAGGAGC
rnacentral:rRNA from 1 species